rnacentral:rRNA from 1 species
CGCCAGACUCCUACGGGAGGCAGCAGUGAGGAAUAUUGGUCAAUGGGCUAAGGCCUGAACCAGCCAAGUCGCGUGAGGGAAGACGGUCCUAUGGAUUGUAAAACUCUUUUGUCGGGGAGCAACGAGGCCACGUGUGGCCGAAGUGAGAGUACCCGAAGAAAAAGCAUCGGCUAACUCCGUGCCAGCAGCCGCGGUAAUACGGAGGAUGCGAGCGUUAUCCGGAUUUAUUGGGUUUAAAGGGUGCGUAGGCGGGCGGUUAAGUCAGCGGUCAAAUGUCGGGGCUCAACCCCGGCCUGCCGUUGAAACUGGCGGCCUCGAGUGGGCGAGAAGUAUGCGGAAUGCGUGGUGUAGCGGUGAAAUGCAUAGAUAUCACGCAGAACUCCGAUUGCGAAGGCAGCAUACCGGCGCCCUACUGACGCUGAGGCACGAAAGCGUGGGUAUCGAACAGGAUUAGAUACCCGGGUACA